ensembl:lncRNA
CAGGAGUCUUGGCGGAGAAGGCAAUGGCAACCUACUCCAGUACUCUUGCUUGGAAAAUCCCAUGGACGGAGGAGCCUGGUAGGCUGCAGUCCAUGGGGUUGCUAAGAGUCAGGCACGACUGAGCGACUUCACUUUCAUUUUCACUUUUAUGCAUUGGAGAAGGAAAUGGCAACCCACUCCAGUAUUCUUGCCUGGAGAAUCCCAGGGACAGAGGAGCCUAGUGGGCUGCCGUCUAUGGGGUCGCACAGAGUUGGACACGAUUGAACCGACUUAGCAGCAGCAGCAGCAGGAGUCUUGGAGUUUAAAUGGGAUGCUUCUUUAGAGUGUGAGUGUUAUGUGAAGUGUAAACAGGAGAGGAACAAGGGGUCAGCUUCAAGAAACACAGAGUUGAAGAGGGGAGAUUUCUUCUUGCCAAAGGUGGUCCCAGUAACUACAGCACCUUCACUAAAUGGGCCUGAUUGAGGACCUGCCUGCUCAUCCUUGCAGCCAAGAUGCAGGCCUGGCAGAGCCAGUCUCCUGAUGACUCAUCGUCCCUUCAGAGGUUUCCUGGACCCCUACUCAAGAAAACACUGGGCUGUGCCUCUCAAGUACAGCGAUGAACAGGUGUUCUUUGGCAGGUGUUUCCAUGACCUGAGGGUGUUUCUGAGCUGUGGAGGACUCUCCCUGUCAGCUCACAAGAGACCUGCACAGCUUCCCUGUACUCCCCAACCCUCUGCCGAGGCUGAGAAGUUAUUAGGAGUCCGUGGGCCCCAGUUCUCUUCAACCUUGUCCCAGCAAGAGGCUCCAGACCAGGAUGAGGACCCAGCUGACAGAGCCCUACCCAGAAUGAUUGGAGGCCUCUGCAAUAAACAGCUGCCUGGAAAAGAACACAGCACAGGUCUUGGUCACAUCUGCUGUGAUCAGGAAGGAGGUGACACGUGA